rnacentral:misc_RNA from 1 species
UUCCCAUAUUGGCUUUAUAUAACUCCUACAUGUUUGUUAUUGAUCCAUUUGGAGUAAUAAGGCGUGGCAGAGGUUUUUUAAUGAAAAAAUUGAUUGGUUUAUGCAAUCGGAUUAUUUGGUAUCUUAGUUCACUGAUAAUCGGCUGGUUAAAGGACCGAAUAUCGAUACGGAAGCUUCUGGUGCGAUUUGCGUGGAGGAUGUUUUGGUCUUUUUAUGUUUGUAUGAUCUUGUGUAUAUUAGUGAUUUUCUCGAUGAUGGUUAGUGGCUCUUUGGUCAUAAAUUUGUUGGAGAAGCCAGUGCAGAUAAGGGAAGAAUUGAGUUUUGAUUACACUGAGAAUAGCCCUGUUGCAUUUGCGCCUAUAAUGUCAUGUGGUGGUGUUGGUUGUGAUUUAAACUGUGUAAAGAAGAGUUUGGGGCGACGGGUUGUACAACCUAAUGAUAAGUUGGAAGUUAAUGUGCUACUAACAUUGCCAGAGUCUGCAUAUAACAAAAAUCUUGGGCUGUUUCAGGUCCGGGUAGACCUCCUGUCUCCAUAUGGUAAAACCCUUGCCAGCAAACGUCAACUGUGCAUGUUAAAAUUCAGAAGUGAACCUGUCCGCUUCUUACUAAAUUUCUUUAAGAUUGUACCUCUGGUCACUGGCUACACGUCAGAAAUCCAAACUCUAAAGGUUAAGAUUAGAGGUUUUAAGGAAGGAGAUGAGCCUACUUCCUGCCUAAAAGUGACAGUUGAGCAACGAGCUGAAUUCCAGGCUGAAGGUGGUGUCCCAGAAAUAUAUGAUGCAUCCCUUGUACUUGAGACUGAUCUUUCUAUAUUGAAAAGGAUUAUAUGGUGUUGGAAGAACACCAUUUUUGCAUGCAUCAGCAUGAUGCUGUUUAUAAUCGAAUUGUUGUUUACCAUAAUCUGUUGUAGACCUGCAAUUAUUCCAAGAACCAGGUCAAGAGUGGUUCCUGCUCUCAACAAUUCAACACCAAACAAUCUCACUAAAUAGGUUUGGAACAAGGUGUUCUGUGCUUGAUGAUAAUGAUGAAAGUAAAGACUGAACCUUCAACCGCAGCAGUCCUUUCUCUGUACCACCUGAACUCAUCUUAGGUAUGGCACUGGAUCAACUUUUUACCUAUCUUUACCACAAUGUACAUAUUAUUAUUUAUCAAUGAUUUAAUUGAGGAAUAAUUUACAUUUGGAAAGACUUUAUUUUUAUGCACUAAUUUUUCAAUUGGAAAAGAAAGAAAAAAAAAAUAUGAAAAAAGGGG